rnacentral:rRNA from 1 species
UACGUAGGGUGCGAGCGUUGUCCGGAAUUACUGGGCGUAAAGAGCUCGUAGGUGGUUUGUCGCGUUGUCCGUGAAAACUCACAGCUUAACUGUGGGCGUGCGGGCGAUACGGGCAGACUGGAGUACUGCAGGGGAGACUGGAAUUCCUGGGUGUAGCGGUGGAAUGCGCAGAUAUCAGGAGGAACACCGGUGGGCGAAAGGCGGGCAUCCUGG